UACGGAGGGUGCAAGCGUUAUCCGGAUUCACUGGGUUUAAAGGGUGCGUAGGCGGGCAGGUAAGUCAGUGGUGAAAUCUUCGAGCUUAACUCGGAAACUGCCGUUGAUACUACCUGUCUUGAAUACCCGGGAGGUGAGCGGAAUAUGUCAUGUAGCGGUGAAAUGCUUAGAUAUGACAUAGAACACCAAUUGCGAAGGCAGCUCACUACAGGGUCAUUGACGCUGAGGCACGAAAGCGUGGGGAUCAAACAGG
rnacentral:rRNA from 1 species